AUUGAACGCUGGCGGCAUGCCUUACACAUGCAAGUCGAACGGUAACGCGGGGGCAACCCUGGCGACGAGUGGCGAACGGGUGAGUAGCGCAUCGGAACGUGCCCAGUAGUGGGGGAUAGCCCGGCGAAAGCCGGAUUAGUACCGCAUACGACCUACGGGUGAAAGCGGGGGACCGCAAGGCCUCGCGCUAUUGGAGCGGCCGAUGCCCGAUUAGCUAGUUGGUGAGGUAAAGGCUCACCAAGGCGCCGAUCGGUAGCUGGUCUGAGAGGACGACCAGCCACACUGGGACUGAGACACGGCCCAGACUCCUACGGGAGGCAGCAGUGGGGAAUUUUGGACAAUGGGGGAAACCCUGAUCCAGCCAUGCCGCGUGCGGGAAGAAGGCCUUCGGGUUGUAAACCGCUUUUGGCAGGAACGAAACGGCGCGCGCCAAUACCGCGCGCUAAUGACGGUACCUGCAGAAUAAGCACCGGCUAACUACGUGCCAGCCGCCGCAGUAACAC
rnacentral:rRNA from 1 species